UGGCCUUGAGCACCUCCAGGGAUGGGGUACCCACUACUUCUCUGGGCAGCCUGUGCCAGUACCUCACCACCCUCUGAGUAAAGAAUUUCCUCCUAACAGUUAAGCUAAAUCUUCCCUCUUUCAGUUCAAAGCCAUUCCCCCUUACCCUAUCACUAUUAGAUCAUCCAUGGUAUGACUAAUGACAUCCCACGAGACUUCCAGUAAACUCCCGAGAACUACCCCCAGAUUAACAAAGUAGUCUGCGUAUGUUUGAAGAGUUGGACCUUGACAUGACUGGAUGGCUUUCUGCAGAUCUUGUCUCCACGUUAAAACAUUUCUAAAAUGAGUAAAGCUGAAGUAAGGAUGUGAAAUGAAAAGUCACAUGCUACCCAGGGACACAACAUACUGAACCCUUCACAGGCUGAUUCCUUGAACGUGACACCAGCUGUAUCACUGUGUCUGUUCAUGGGGGUAUCUGGCUGAGACAGAAGCUGCUUCACAACAUGAGAACUGUACAGUUUGUUUUCCACACUUACAUUUAAAAAAAAACACGAAUCCUUUCUCCACAACAAUCUAUCUCCACAGCAGAUAAAAAUCUUGCUGAAUUCAUAGCACCACCUUCAGAGUCCUCGUACAAUCCUUUUCCUUAUUUUCCCCACACCUUGGAUCUUAACCUCUCUUUUACUUAUUUUUUCUCCCCAGUGAUAGUUUGAAUUCUUCCCCUUAAAGCCCCACCUUGACAUACUAUGGUAUCAGUACUCAGAGCUGGUUCGAAUUUAUCAGAUGGCUUCAAUGCUAGAAAAUACCACUUUGUCACAAGCAGAACCCUUCCUAAAAGUUUGUCACUUUCCAACGCGAAUCUCUAUUUUACUGAAACCGCAGCUUUCAAUAAUGUCAAAACAUCAUUCUGACAUCUUGGAAAUGGAACACCUCUGUUUAAAAAAAAAAGAAAAAGAGUUUUGCAUUUCACUGUAUUCUCCUGGAGAUUCUGUAAACUGACUUUCUGUUUGGAGUGGAAAAAAAAGAUUCAUAGCUACAGAAUUCCCUGAAAAAGAGUCAUUCUCUUUCAGCUCUACAUCUCACCUUUUCUUCCAUCUCCACCCUGCAGAGGUUGCAGCUGAGAAGACUGAUAACACCACAGCAGUGGCAACAGUGUUCAUACAUUUAACGUGCUGGAAUAGUUUUUAUGUAUGUAUCUAAUGUAUACAGUCAGUGGUGCUAUCUCAUUUGAUAUGGAACUUUUAGGCAUGGCAGGCUGUUCCAGCCAUGACAUUUAAUGUGCUGCCUUUUACAGAGAAGGCAUUUAGUGGCUUGGUUUUACAUGAAAGUAAAGCUUAU
rnacentral:lncRNA from 1 species